ensembl:lincRNA
GAGAGUUAUUUAAUCCAACUUAUGUCGUUUUAAAAUAAUUAUACAUAAUCCGUGGAAUGUGAUCAACGUUCGACUUCAAAAUCGUUCACCUGGUCAUUCAAGUCGUGUUAGUCAAAAAAAGAUGGAAUGAAGGAAAAAAUAUUUAAACACUUGAUAAUUCUUAUAGAAGAUAAAUCUGAGAAAAUGUAGAUUAUGAAAGAGCAAAAAAUCACUAAAUUCAUAUAUAUUAUAAUGUGUGUGAUGAAAAUAAUUUUUGGUAAAUAUAUAUAUUUUUCGUUCUUUUAAUCAUUCUUUCGUCCUUCGCACCUCAGUUGGGCCGAGAGAGGCGGGAAGAGUGUGAAGAGAUGGAGGGGCGAUUCCCAGGAUAUGGACGGACUCAUUUCGAGGACGAAGAUGAUGACGGCGGAGCUACACCAGUUCAAGAUGAGCGGGACUUUGAUUCAGAAAGCGAGGAGAAAAUUCCUGAGCAGGAUUAUGAAGAAGGAGAGCACAUAUCUGACGAAGAAUUGAGCUGUACUUUGCCGGUGCUGCCACGUGCUGAGAGCAGUGAUGGCGAAAUGCGUGAGGAUGCAGAGAGUGAUGUGGAACGUGAGGCUGGUGAAAUUGCUGGGGAUUCUGACAGUGAUGCUGGCCAAGCUGAUGAAGAAGAGCAGGAGGAAGGAGAACUUGACGAUGAUGAUGAGCCAGAGGAAGAGGAUUUCGUGAGACCCAAUUCAGAGUUUUCUCAUGCUGGGGGAAAGCAGUAUGCACAUGACAUUGAAGAGAAAAGAAACUCUGAAUUUCCCCAGAAUGGAGGACGAGAAGAAGAAGAAGUAGGAGAAGAAGAAGAAGGAGGAGAAGAAGAAGAAGAAGAAGAAGAAGAAGCAGAAGAAGAAGAAGAAGAAGAAGAGGUGUUGAGGGACAAUGAGUGGGAAAGUGAACAACGUUGGCAAUCGGAAAAUGAAAGUGAUGGCGAAGAAGUUUCAGCGAAGAGAAAGGCUUCCGAGAGUGAAAAUGAAGAAGAUGAGAACAUGGAAAUUGAAUGUGUUCCAGCCAGGAAGAAGAGCCGUGUGAUAUCUGAAGAUGAAAAUGACGAUGUGGAUGAUGGUUUAAGAGAAAAGCACAGUGUGGGAGAGAUAAAUUGGGGAAUUGAAAGAAAGGACGAAAAAGCAAUGGAAGAAGAGGAUUAUGAGGACCACGAGGUUAUGGCUAUUUCGGCAGAAAAGGGUGUUUCAUCUGGAUCUGAGGAAGAGGAUGGUGAGCCGAGGCCUUUGUCAAAGUCUCCACCGCACCUCGCUCACUUACGCUCUGACGAUGAAGAAGAAUUGAAUCCGGAAGACCAACCUGCAGGUCCAAGCCGUGGGCAAGGCCUGGUAUCGGACAGCGAUUCUGAUCAGGACAGAACAUCCACCCAGGGAAAAGACUCUUUAACUUUGGAUGAAGAGCCAGAGGCUGUCUCCAAUUCACCAGCAGAAAUAGAAGAAAGGACAGGAAAGGAAGAGAUGUUUGAUCGAUUAGAAGGAGACCAACAAGAAGAACUUACACAUAACGAAGAUGUAGAGUCACCAGAGAAGGAUGAUCAACCUUUGGCCAGUGACAAUGAAUCUGCAGAUGAGUAUGUUUUAUAAAACUUGUUGUUAUUGUUGUCUUUAAUCAUUAAUGUUUUGUUAAUUUAAUUUUUACCCAAUGUCUAAGGCUUGUGAUCAAACUGCAAUGUAACUUCAUGAUGGGAAAUUUAAUUGAGGUGUACAACAAUGUAAUGUGUGAACAUGUGUACAUCUUGUUCUCCACAUUUCACUACCCAUCGUCCUUUGUCUGAUGUCAAUUUCACGUAAUGUCAAUGCCAUGCAUUGUCUUUCUCUGUACUUCCAUAAAUUUGCUUCUGAUCGAUCUGUAGAAUCUCGUCCCUCCACUUCAUAGACAUCCUUUAACAAUUGUACAACUUUAUUAAAUACAUUGUUAUAUUUUUUGAGGUAUGCUCUAAAAGGUAGGUGUAGAUCUCACAUAUUGGUUCACAAAAAAAAAUUUUCACGAAAAAUAUAAUUGGUUCACGAAAAAAUAUUUUCACGAAAAAAUAUUUUCACGAAAAAUAUAAUUGGUUCACGAAAAAAUAUUUUCACGAAAAAUAUGUGACCACUAUUUUCGUUAUUGUUGUGUGUCUGUCUGUCUGUCUGUCUGUCUGUUUGUCUGUCUGUAUGUCUGUCUGUCCCGAGCAUAGCUCUGUGGGUUUUGAUCCGAUCCUGAUGAAAUUUUGGUGGGAGGUUUAUAUCAUGAUCUAGUUGUCUUUUCCUGAAAAUGGGCAUGGUCCGCCCAUAAAAAACAUGUGUUUUUAGGGGGUAGCCGAUUUCAAUUUGCAUCUUCUCCUAGGGGUUUUGUCGAACCUGACAGGGGUUUCGGUAUUUGGUUCGCCCAAUGGAACCUGCAUAGCCCCACGGAGCUCGAUUUUUCAUUUUCGUCCCAAGGCCAAGGUCACAAGGUCACGAACUUAGAAAAUUGCGAUUUUGACAUAAAAUAAUUUCUUCUCCAAGGGGUUUGUCGAAUCUGGCAGGAGUUUUUGAUAUUUGGUUAGCCCAAUGGCACAUGCAUAGCCCCACAGAGCUCGAUUUUUCAUUUUCGUCCCAAGGUCAAGGCCACAAGGUCACGAACUUAGAAAAUUGCGAAUUGUGUUUUUAGGGGGUAGCCGAUUUCAAUUUGCAUCUUCUCCUCGGGGGUUUGUCGAAUCUAGCAGGGGUUUUGGUAUUUGGUUAGCCCAAUGGCACCUGCAUAGCCACACGGAGUUCGAUUUUUCAUUUUAGUCCCAAGGUCAUGAACUUGGGACUAAAAUGAAAAAUCGAGCUAUGUGGGGCUAUUUCAAAUUUCGAAUUUUGAGAUAAAAAUCAGACGACCGCCCAAACUUUUAGAGCGAGGAUGACAAUAUUUUUUAUGCAUAAUCUUGAGGUCAUUCCCCACCUAAAGUCUUGAAACCAUUUUUCUCUA